CACCCUAAGUUUUUCCUCGACCCAUCGCCGAACCCCCUCCCUCUCCUCUUCAUCUCGUCGAAACCCGUUGAGCCCGCACCGCCGCCCAAAUCCUCUCUGUUGCGUGCCCUAGCCUCACCUGACACUGCCCCUUCCUUUCCUCAGCCCCAACGGCAAUUCUCCCUUUUCCCCAAGUCCGCCUCUCUUCAUCGCCGCCGACCUUAGAGCUCCGACGCCGUCCAAUGCUGCGUUGCCCGACAAACACCGGUUGAGCCGUGCCCUAACCUUCACGUCGUGCCCUAGUCCCUAAUCUCACCACUUCCUCACCCGAUCUUCUCCCUUCUCCUCUUGUCACCGCCGACCGCCACAGCCGACGGCGACAGCUAGCCACUGCAACACCUUCUACAUCCUUCAUUUAAUUCCGAGCAGAUUGUCGAUUCCUGCUCACCAAUGUUGCCAUCAGUCUUGGUGGCACAGCCUACUGCCUAGAUGUCGGAAGAUGGUCUCGAAUUGGAUCCGUUGGCAUAGAUUUGAGAUAGAUGGCUUGAUUUAAGCAUAAGUGUAUUACUUGGUUGAUUAAUUGAUUUAGUUAGCUACUCCUUUUUGGUAUGAUUUAGGUACAUAAAUUGGAUAAUGGAUUUGAUAUAUGGAUUGCUGAUUUGGGGUGUUUGGGUUGGAUGACCGUAGCUAGACCUAGUGCCGAUCACUCUUUCCGUCAGCAAUCAUCCUCAGCUGUGAGUCAACAGCGAAGUCUUUGGAUUUGGGCAUCAGAUAGAUAUUUGUGGAGACGCUUGGAGUAUGCUGUCUGCCGAUCUUACGUCACAUCCGAAGACCUGUUUCCGAUUUCAUUUGUACUUUAUUUGGUUUAUGUAUUUGGUGUACCUAGCGUUGUAUAUUCCGGUUUUGUUUCUGGUUUGUUGUGAUGUGGUGUUUUGUAUUGUUUUGUUGUGUUGUGUAAGCCUAGCCAGCUAGCAGUUUUGAUUUUGAUUUGUAUUGAUUUUCUAUCAUUUUUCACUGUGUUGGUUUUUAGUAUAGCCGAGUGGGAUGUUUAAUGUAUAUAUAACUGCGUGAUUGUGUUUAUUUUGUUCCAGCUGAGUAUGCUAAAUAUAUAACUGUGUGGUUGUGUAUAUA